rnacentral:snRNA from 1 species
UACUCGUCUAUAUCUUCGUAUC